rnacentral:rRNA from 1 species
UACGUGAACUGCUUAGAGGUUAAACCCGAUGAACCUAAAUAUCCGGUAUGAGAAAGUCAUUAUUAUGAGUAUAUUAUUUUAUAAUGUAUUAAUAGUGUGCAUUUUUUUCAUAAAAAGGACAUUGUAAUCUGUUAAUACAAUUUAUAUAUUCUUUUAUAUAUUAUUUUUAUCAUAAAGAGUCAUGUAUAAGUUUACAUAUAAAUUAAUUAAUUUAUUAAUUAAUUGAUGUAAGAUCGAUGAAUUUCUAGAUAAAUAGUUAACAGUAUUAAAAUAUAUAAUGCUUACAUAAUUUUUUAUGUUUUAUAUAUAAUAUGUACAUGUACAUAUAUAAGUUUUGGCACAAGGAGUAUAAACACU